AGCCCGAUGAACCUGAAUAUCCAUUAUGAAAAAUUCAUCAUUAUAACUAUAAUAUUAAUUUAUUAAUAUUUAUAUGUGAUAGUGUGCAUUUUUUUCAUAUAAGGACAUUGUGAUCUAUUAACAUAUAAAAAAGUAUUUAUCAAAAGAUCAUUAGCUUUUAAGUUUAUUUUAAUUAAUUUGCUUUUUUAGCUUAUUAACAUAAAAUAAAUGCAAAUGAUUUGAUAAAGUGUUAAUAGAUUUAUGUUAUAUAAUGCUUAAAUCUUUCAAAAAAAAGAUUUUACAAUAAUAUUAAAGUCUAUGAUUUUAUAUAUUUAUUGUAUGCAUUUAUAUGAUUAACAAUGCGAAAGAUUCAGGAUACCUUCGGGACCCGUCUUGAA
rnacentral:rRNA from 1 species